rnacentral:rRNA from 1 species
GAUGAACGCUAGCGGAAGGCAUAAUACAUGCAAGUCGAACGGAUGUAGCAAUACAUUAGUGGCGCACGGGUGCGUAACGCGUAUGCAACCUACCUUCAUCAGGGGGAUAACUACUCGAAAGGGUGGCUAACACCGCAUAAUACUACUGAAUGGCAUCAUCUGGUAUUUAAAUCUGAGGAGGAUGAAGAUGGGCAUGCGUCGGAUUAGCUAGUUGGCGUGGUAACGGCGCACCAAGGCGACGAUCAGUAGGGGAACUGAGAGGUUGGUCCCCCACACUGGCACUGAGAUACGGGCCAGACUCCUACGGGAGGCAGCAGUAGGGAAUAUUGGUCAAUGGUGGGAACACUGAACCAGCCAUUCCGCGUGCAGGAAGAAGGGUCUCUGACUUGUAAACUGCUUUAGCAAGGGAAGAAAAAGCUCAUGCGUGAGAAAUUGACGGUACCUUGAGAAUAAGCACCGGCUAACUACGUGCCAGCAGCCGCCGUAA